rnacentral:rRNA from 1 species
UGGGGAAUUUUGGACAAUGGGCGNCCCUUUNAUCCAGCCAUGCCGCGUGUCUGAAGAAGGCCUUCGGGUUGUAAAGGACCUUUGUCAGGGAGGAAAUCCCUANCGCUAAUACCGCUGGGGGAUGACAGUACCUGAAGAAUAAGCACCGGCUAACUACGUGCCAGCAGCCGCGGUAAUACGUAGGGUGCGAGCGUUAAUCGGAAUUACUGGGCGUAAAGCGUGCGCAGGCGGUUUGAUAAGCCAGAUGUGAAAUCCCCGAGCUCAACUUGGGAACUGCGUUUGGAACUGUCAGACUAGAGUGCGUCAGAGGGGGGUGGAAUUCCGCGUGUAGCAGUGAAAUGCGUAGAGAUGCGGAGGAACACCGAUGGCGAAGGCAGCCCCCUGGGAUGACACUGACGCUCAUGCACGAAAGCGUGGGGAGCAAACAGGAUUAGAUACCCUGGUAGUCCACGCCCUAAACGAUGUCAACUGGUUGUUGGGUCUUCACUGACUCAGUAACGAAGCUAACGCGUGAAGUUGACCGCCUGGGGAGUACGGCCGCAAGGUUG